UACGAAGGGGGCUAGCGUUGUUCGGAUUCACUGGGCGUAAAGGGUGCGUAGGCGGACUUUUAAGUCAGUGGUGAAAUCCCCGAGCUUAACUCGGAAACUGCCAUUGAUACUAUUAGUCUUGAAUUCGGUCGAGGUUGGCGGAAUGUGUCGUGUAGCGGUGAAAUGCUUAGAUAUGACACAGAACACCGAUUGCGAAGGCAGCUAGCUAGACCGACAUUGACGCUGAGGCACGAAAGCGUGGGGAUCAAACAGG
rnacentral:rRNA from 1 species